rnacentral:rRNA from 1 species
AUUAAGAAUUGUCUUUUUAUUUAUUAACAUGUAAUAUUGGUUGACAAAUAUAGUAUCGAUUUUAUCGAGUAAAGUUCUAGAUGGUAAUAUUGAUAAUGACAAACAUCAUCUAUAUGUCUUGACCAAAUUACGUGCCAGCAGUCGCGGUAAUACGUAAAAGACUAGUGUUAUUCAUCUUUAGUAGGUUUAAAGGGUACCUAGACGGUAUAAUUAGUCUUAAACAGGAUACGAUUAUACUAGAGUUAUAUAUAAGGAGGUGAGUAUUUUUGGAGUAGAGUUGAUAUUCAUUGAUACCUUAACGACUGGUGAAGGCGAAAGCAACCUUUUAUCUAAUAACUGACGUUGAGGGACGAAGGCUCGGGUCACGAACAGGAUUAGAUACCCUAGUAGUCCAGGCAGAGAAUGAUGAAUGCCAUAGGUUAGAUAUAUUUAGUCUAUAAAUGAAAGUGUAAGCAUUUCACCUCAAGAGUAAUGUGGCAACGCAGGAACUGAAAUCAUUAGACCGUUUCUGAAACCAGUAGUGAAGUAUGUUAUUUAAUUCGUAAGUACGCGAAAAACCUUACCACAAUUUGAAUAUUAUUUGACUAAAAAUACUAAAAAUUCUUUUUUUUAUUUUUAUAGAAUAUUACAAGCGUUGCACGGCUGUCUUCAGUUAAUGUCGUGAGAUAUUGGUUAAUUCCAUUUAAUUAACGGAAACCCUUGCU